GGCGGCGCUUUCGCUCUCAUCGCUUCUGCUGCCAUUCUCUUCGUCUGCUCCUGACGCUUUCCGUGGACGUGCGCGUUUUCUCGUUUGCUUUGUAGUUGAAAACUUUCUGUGCCUGCAAAUGUUCCAGCCAUGUCGGAAAAAUUGAGGAAACGGCGCAAGACGUGAUGCGCGGCUGUAUGGCGUGGCCACUCGAUGAUGAACAGCAGGGCGAAAUAUUUCCGUUUCCCAGCGGACGAAAGAUGUGACAUAUGGCGAAAUUACGCCAAAUGGGGAGUCCUGGCGAUGCUGAGAUGUACCAUGGCCAGCUGCCGCCUCUGCUUGAUCGGGCCACUUCACAGAAAAUCAGGGUCCUCGCCGACCCUGCCAUACGAGGCUGUUGUGGUAGGCUAUGCCGACUGUUGGAGUGGGAGAGCGGUCCCUGAUCGAUGAAGGUAUCCAUGCUCCUGUUAGAAACUGCAGUUCAGUGGUGACCCUAUGAAGCUGGAUCCGGCCUUAUGGAAACACAACCGGCUCAUGAGUAACAAAGUAGGAGCUGAAGAAAACACUCUAAUGCUGGCAUUACACCUCACUGUUAGUGCAUAAUUUGUGGUUAGCCAGCGACAAUGGCAUUGCACUAAACAUUCAGACUAUGGCUUAAUAUGUAGCGCUUAUGUGGUGAAUAAGAGAGCAAAAUGUGAGCCCGAUGUUUUGAGAUGAGCACUGCUUACAUAUGUGUAGUGCAAUCGUGUUUAUUACUUCUGUAACGGCAGUGCACUCACUUUCUUAAAUCUAAUGCUUACGCUCCAUUGGCGAAGCAUCGAUUUCAAUAGCAAACUAGUAGACAGCUAUACGAAGUAAGGGUAGCUGCUUUAUCGACUGCAGAUAUACCUGUAAAUGUUCGUUUACUAACUAAAAUAAGAAGCAUGAUGUCAUGCGGGCACAAGCAAACAUGAACACAUCGCACUCGAUGACCGCAAGAACUCGCUAUCAGAAAAUUGUAGUUAAGAAGCACGGCAGCAGCAGCGAGCGAAUUCACGUUCGUGUUGCCUCUCGCUUAAACGUGAGUUAAGUGGCGAAAACACAGCGCACACAAAGCUAUCAGCACGCACUCUGUUCCCAUCACAGAUUUCUUUUCAAUAUAGGGCCUGCACAGCUACGUCAUACCCAGUAGCCGCCGGAGUAGAACGCAGCCUCUCCCCAGUGCCUUGUGCGCGACGGAAAAUGGUGCGCUUCCUCCCCACUUUCCUUCCUUGCAUGCCCAAAAUUGAGCCGCCAUUGUCGGCCCACUCAUGCACGCUUUCACUCUCACAUACAGCAUGUGGCAUGAGGUGACCAUUUUAUCGCCCCUGAAAUUUAUACGGAACAUCACGGCGACGCUGACGGCUGAACUGCUUAUGGUGUAUCGAUGUAAUUGCUAUCGCAAUAAAAACAGCUUGGAAUAGUUUUACCUUAUACCAGCCCAGUGUCGAUCGUGGCUCUCUGGGCCUGCAGUGACAUAUGGUCACCCAGAAAUUAUGUUACUACAUUGAUUCGACUGCAUAAUUUGAGAACAUUUUCCGCUAUCAUCAUGAGCAUUGGCAUGAGAAUAUAUAGUUGGAUCGUAGUGCAACCGAUGUUUUCGGCUUUAUAGGAAAGCAUGCGCCAUGCCGCCACUAUACCCACUCUUCCAUAUUCUGGUACACUAUAGCUACAAUGUGCGCUUCUACUACAUGCUUCGUGCUGGUUUAUUGUGUUUCAUCGUGGUUUCAAAGUGUGCUGCCUUAUUCCAUACUCUAUUAUUCUACCGAAAUUCAGAUCGGCCUGCUCCAAACUGCUUCAAAAUGAAAUUUUAUCAGCUCCAAAAUGAAAUUUAGUCUGCUUCAUACUGCUCCAAAGCACAAUGUUAGUUGUUCCCAAAAUUGCUCCAAAAUAGCUUUGGGCAGUCCCACCACUGUAAUACCAAAACCAGCAAAAGCCAAAACAUCCAAAAUCUACGACCUAUAUCACUCAUUUCAUGCAUAGGAAAACUUUUCGAGAAGGUAGUCCAAACAUUCCUUAGCAGGCAUAUAGAAGAUUGAGGAGUUUUUCCACACCAUGUUCGGCUUUUGACCGCACAUUUCAGCAUAAAGUGUCUUCCUACUCUUAAAAGAGAAGGCACUCAACCCACCAAAAGGAGGUGAGAAUAGUAUAUUCCUAGCACUAAACAUCAAAAGAGCUUUCGAUACCAUCUCCCAUCUCACUACUCUCGAGGAACUUGAGAAAACUGGAUGUGAAGAAUGAAGGUACAAUUACAUAAGAUCUUUCUUAUAGAACAAAAUGGCAACAAUAGGUAUACAGGCAAUGAGAUCCACGCACAUCACACUGACCAACAAAGGAACUCCGCAAGGCACCAUCCUAUCCCCCCUUCUCUUCAAUAUAAGAAUGCAGACAUUGGCACCAGCUCUCAGGGAGGACCAAGAACUGGGGCUCACCAUAUAUGCAGACGAUAUCCCGCUAUGGGCAGCGAGAGGCUCAUACGGGGAAAAACAGGAUACACUGCAGAAGGUGACUGAGAAAGUGGAACACUUUAUUCGAGAGGCAACGGCAGGGUAUCACACAUGCUAGAAACAUUAAAACAAAUCACAACAAAUGUGGCACAAAUUAUCCACAGAAUUGCAGAACAACAAAGAGGCUUUAAAGAAACAAAGAUGGUCAGACUCGUGCAAGUAUUUGUUAUAAGCAAGGUGAUCUACAGACUCCCCUUUCAAAAACUAAAUAAGUUCGAAUUUACCAAAGGGCAGCGUAUAAGGCUGCCCUACGGUUACCGAAAAACAUGAGCACUGGCAGAUUGUAGCCUCUUGGUAUUUCCAAAACUUAUGAAGAACAUUCCAUGGCGGUGCUCAUGGCAGAGAGAGAACACCUAAAUUCAACUGAACAAGGAAGGACCGUGUUGCAAUAGUUAGAUAUCCCCUGACAGCACAGUACACCACGGAAAAAAAAGUUUUGAUACCCUGACAAACAAGAUAGAAAAUUCUAGUUUUACCAAUACCAAAGAAUAUGAGCAUGGAAUACCACCAAAUAAGAAGAAAAGCGCGAUCAAAGGCUUUACAAAACAAAUAUAGAAGAAAUUCAGACAUGUACUGCACGGACGCCUGUAGAGUGGCAACAGACGAAUUCGCAAUAGUGCCUCUCAAUCAAUCCACAGCGAUAACGGCCUCCAGUGGACCCCUUCAACCUGCACCGUGGAGGCAGCAGCCAUAGCAUUGACCCUUCAAGAUCCAGAGGCAAAAAAACAAUCUGCGUUGGUCAUGACGGACUCACAGGCAGCAUCCCAUUCAUUCCUGAUGAGUACCAUCCCCCACAAAAUCCACAGAAUGCUAGGCACUGCCCUAGAAUUGCACCACGUGAUAAUGUGGUGCACGGUGCACUCUGAACAUGAGGGAAAUGAGAGGGUGUACCGAUCUGUUCGAGGAAUAGGCAUCCGAACACCAGGUCGGUCCUUUCGAAGACCCUCCCAUCCACCCGCACAACAUCCUCAAAAACCAAUGAGACAAUACAGCCGCCCACCCGCCGACUUUAUAGAAGAACAGGCCAGGGACUGGUGCUGUAUACAGACUAACACAUACCCACACCUUCAAAUAGUCAGUUAAAUGAAAGCAGCCAACUCUUGCCCACGUAAUGUGGAUGUGCAACCUACGGCCUCCAAAUUCCAAUUUGCCCCUUGCAAUGCAAGUACAAAGUAACAGGUAGUGGGAGGUUCGACUUGCUAGUGAAAAUCUAGAGCCACAGAGCUCCUCUCGGUCAAGCCCAGUGGGGCCCUGGACUGAGGGACCCACCCACCUCCCAAAACUACCCGGAGGAAUAAAGUUUAAGUUACUACUAGUCUUUGACACAGUCUGUGGGGUUCCUAUUUUUGAUGUGGCAAGGUUUUGUCUCUCUUCUUUGAUGUACCAGGAAGUGGCCAUCAUGCGGGUACAAUUUUUACUAUCACUACUGCUGUUUUUCAAUUUGUUCUGUGUAUAUAUACUUGUUCUUUCACGAAUAAACUAGUAGUUAUGAGUCA